UGAUCUCUAUGAAGAUGUAGAGCUAAGGCUGGCUGGAGGGUCAAGGGUAGAGUAAAAAUGAAUUCAGCUUUAUUUUCAUGUUUCAGUGACACACUCAGAAGACACUCCUCAUUCAGCUGGAUAUACUUGGCAGCAAGAGACAGAGUUGAAGAAAAAGAUUUGGGAGAAACAUCUGGAGCAGGCAGUAUGAAGUAAAGAAAUUCCAUUGUUUUAUCUCAGCUGAUGAAAGAGUUCAAGAAGAAAUGAUCAACAUGAACUGUAGAUACAAGAAAGCACUGAUAGAAUAUCCAUGUUAGUUAGUGGGUCAUUUAAAAGCUGAGAGCAGAAGAAAUUUUAGAAGUGUCUUUAAAAUUUUUUAUUUAACAGGGUACAGAAGGUGUGAUGAUUCAGAAGUAAUGAGUCAUUUAAAAAUAAUAAAACUAUUGCUUUGCCUGGAAAACAUGGGCAAUCAUUCAUGAAUGACUCAAUAUGGAAACUGCUUCUAAGAGAAGAGUCAAGAGGAAUACAAAACAGGUACCCAUAGAACUACUUGGUGGAUAAAAUGACGAGACCUGGGAUAUUCAAUUUAUUUUCACUUCAAAUAUAGUUGAGAAAAUAAAUUGACAAAGGGAACUCGUCUCAAAAGGGAUUACUUUCUGAUGUUCAAAGAAACUAUGUAUGUAAUAUGAAAGAAAAAUUAACACUUUAGAUUUAGUAAUAUAAUAAUAUUCCAGGAGCAGGCCUAAUUUGAGCAUAUAGAAAUUAGGAAGUGCUUUAAAACUUACUUUUAUCUUUCUUCCCGUAGAGGAACAAAGUGUGGUUAAGGGAAAAGCAUCAGGUGGGCAGUAAGGAGCUCCUGGUCCAGCUUCAGCUUCUGUACUGUCUACUUUGGUAGUCUGAUAACUUGGUCAAGUUACUUCAGUCACCGAGAUUUCACCUUCUCCUCUGCGGGGUGGGAAAAAAACAUGCUGAAAGAUGGCUCUGAGGUCCAGACAACAUGAGAAAAACAAAACUUGUUUUUUUUUCUUGGUUUCAAUUAGGAAAAUGUUAUAUUUUGCCAGCAAACUAUUUUUUAUUAUUUGAUGGAAGAUAAUGAACUGGCUAUUCAUAUUUAAUUGCAAAACUAUGGAUUUCCCUGAGAACUGGCUCCAAAAUAAAAAUUUGUGGUUAAGCUUAUAUAGUUUUGUAAUUAAAAAAAAUUCUCAGGCUAGGGGUGCAGCUCAAUGGUAAAGCACUUGUGUAGCUUUUGUGAGACCUCGAGUUCAAUGCCUAGUGCAUGUGUGUGCACACAAAAAAUUUCUAUUAUAUAUUCCAAAACAUCACAAUAGUUGUCUCUGUCUAGCUGAUAGUAUUUUAAAUCACACAUUUUCCUUUUCUAAAUAUUUUUCUUAAUUUGGAGAUCAUAUAAAAAUCAGAUAGCAUUCUCUAUGGGGGAAAAAUCACUUGGGACAGUUUAGAAGAACAUGUAUACUGUUUAAUAAACAUUUGAGUACUACCUCAGACUAGGUACUCUUCGAGAUAGCCCAAUUCUACAGUAUUACCUCAUGUAGCUCUCAGUGUGAGUGGGGAGAAAAAGAGGAUACCUAAUCUUUAGGUGGAGGAAAGAGUUCCCAAGAGGGGGGACAACUAAACCCAGUCCUGGAGAACAGUAGAAGUAGUUGACCACAGGAAAGAAGGGGAAAUGCUGGGUGAGCAGAGGGAGCAAUACAGAAGGUGGCAUGGGAGUUACCAGGAGUUUGGUUUUAUAUUCAAGUGUCAAGCUGGCUUCCAGGAGCCAAAGCUAAAGGGGUAGGACAGAGGUAACUGCUUCAGAGAACUCUUUUUCAAAUGGAGAGGGAGGAGAAACAUGGUUGGAUUUAAACUGUAGGUAGAGCACUUUAUGUAGUACUGUGGAGGACAGACUUAGGAAAGCAAGACAAAGUGAAGUAAGCCAGGUAGAAGGCCUCUGCAGACUCCAGAGAGAAUCCAUGAGGGGGUAACUGGCUUAAGUGACUAACUCAUGAUCAGAAAACUAUGAGCAGAAUUUACCUUUAAAUUCUGUGCCUUCCUACACCCUGGUGUAAGCACAAAUUCUGGUCAAAGCUGAAAAGAGAUCUUAAUUUUAUCUUUAUUAUGUAAACUAUGGAUAUAUUUCUUAAAAAUACUUCGUUCAUUAAUUUAUCUUAAGUACCAAAAUGUUCAGCACACUGCAGAAAACAAGUCGUCUUCUGUCUUGUAGGAAUUUAUGGGAUAAAAGAAAUGAGAAAAAAAGAAUAGGUAAAUUAAUUCAAUAGUUAUUUACUGAGCUCCUCCUGAACCGUGAUGGAGAUAACAUUUUAAAGACAGUUCCUUUUAGGACAUAAUUUUUAUGGCCUUCUUUGCUUUCCUGAGGAGUUCAUUGUGACACAAGAGAACAGAGAAUUCACAGAGCCAAGUAGGCAAUUCUAGGGUAAAAUAAACAGAAGCACAGGGUCAGAGAAAAUUUGCUUGAAUUGGAUAAGAGAAAAAUCCCAAAGAAUGGUAUAGGUGGCAGUGACAUGGAGAGGAACCUGGAACUGACUUUGGCACAUGACAAAUGAUUUCUGGUUUUUGUUUUAAAUAGGUUUAAUCAUGAUAGAAGUAAUGACUAUAGAAGUAAGACAUACUGGAAUAAAGUCAGAAAGACAAAGAAAGCAACAAAGAUCAAAGAGGUAGUGUCAAUGUGUCAAAAAAUAUCCUUUUUGGGUUUAAACAUACAUAUAUACAUGAACAGGCAUGAGUUUUUUUGUGUAUUUCUUUAAAACAAAAGUGAGAUUAUAGCUUAUUUCCUGUUUUCCCCA